CCUACGGGAGGCAGCAGUGGGGAAUAUUGCGCAAUGGGCGAAAGCCUGACGCAGCGACGCCGCGUGAGGGAUGAAGGUCUUCGGAUCGUAAACCUCUGUCAGUAGGGAAGAACGGUCACUGUGCUAAUCAGCAGUGCAUUGACGGUACCUGCAAAGGAAGCACCGGCUAACUCCGUGCCAGCAGCCGCGGUAAUACGGAGGGUGCGAGCGUUAAUCGGAAUUACUGGGCGUAAAGCGCUCGUAGGCGGUAUGUCAAGUCAAGGGUGAAAUCCCCGCGCUCAACGUGGGAAGUGCCUUUGAAACUGGCAAACUGGAGUGUGUGAGAGGAUAGUGGAAUUCCAGGUGUAGGAGUGAAAUCCGUAGAUAUCCGGAGGAACAUCAGUGGCGAAGGCGACUAUCUGGCACAUAACUGACGCUGAGGAGCGAAAGCGUGGGUAGCAAACAGGAUUAGAUACCCUUGUAGUC
rnacentral:rRNA from 1 species